ensembl:lncRNA
AUAUAAUAGUCUUCCUUCUCUCAAGUCAUGCCCCGUGUAUAAACACGACCUUCCAGCUGCUGUGCAAUUAGUCUGCAUAAAUGUGCAGCUGAAAGCAUUGAGUAGAGCAGAGCAGCGUGGGAGGCCGGGGAAGGAGGAGAAUCUGGAGGCUGUAAUUUGAUCGGAUGGGUUUCUGUGGCUGUGCGGGGAUGAGGACGCGCCCCUAAAACCAAGGGCCUUGAGAGAAAGACAAGUCUCCACACAGACAGCCACAUCACUGCGGGUCCAGCAUGCUGCGCGUCACCGUGUUCCUCUGCGUCCUCGCCGCGUCCUCGUGCGCGCCGCCGCGCUCCUGCGAACCUGGAGAUCAAGCUUUAGGAAGAUGCAAGGAAGCAGUAAAAGAGAAAAUGCAGUGCACAGACAUGGUGCUUAGCUACUGCCAGGACGUGCCAUAUAGGCAUGUUGUCUUCCCCCAACCUCAUUGGGACAGCAGUCGCGACAGGAGGCCGAGCAGAGCACUGAGUAUCUGCUGCUUAAUGUGCUGCACGGCCUGCUGGGGGGCGAGUGCUUGUCCGAGCUACGCCCUACUUGGAUGCUCUGUGCUGGCUCCACGAUGUCGAAUAAUGCCAGAG